GUAGGUGGCAAGCGUUGUCCGGAAUUAUUGGGCGUAAAGCGCGCGCAGGUGGUUCUUUAAGUCUGAUGUGAAAGCCCCCGGCUCAACCGGGGAGGGUCAUUGGAAACUGGGGAACUUGAGUGCAGGAGAGGAAAGUGGAAUUCCACGUGUAGCGGUGAAAUGCGUAGAUAUGUGGAGGAACACCAGUGGCGAAGGCGACUUUCUGGCCUGUAACUGACACUGAGGCGCGAAAGCGUGGGGAGCAAACAGGGAUUAGAUACCCUGGUAGUCCUCGCCGUAAACGAUGAGUGCUAAGUGUUGGGGGGGUUUCCCGCCCCUCAGUGCUGCAGCUAACGCAUUAAGCACUCCGCCUGGGGAUACGGUCGCAAGACUG
rnacentral:rRNA from 1 species